GCCAAGGGUAGUGUAGUGGUUUUAAUGUUGGACUAGGACUCUGGAGGUCAGGGUUCAAAUCCCUACUCAGCCA